GGCCUAACACAUGCAAGUCGAGCGGAUGAAGAGAGCUUGCUUUCUGAUUCAGCGGCGGACGGGUGAGUAAUGCCUAGGAAUCUGCCUGAUAGUGGGGGACAACGUUUCGAAAGGAACGCUAAUACCGCAUACGUCCUACGGGGGAAAGCAGGGGACCUUCGGGCCUUGCGCUAUCAGAUGAGCCUAGGUCGGAUUAGCUAGUUGGUGAGGUAACGGCUCACCAAGGCGACGAUCCGUAACUGGUCUGAGAGGAUGAUCAGUCACACUGGAACUGAGACACGGUCCAGACUCCUACGGGAGGCAGCAGUGGGGAAUAUUGGACAAUGGGCGAAAGCCUGAUCCAGCCAUGCCGCGUGUGUGAAGAAGGUCUUCGGAUUGUAAAGCACUUUAAGUUGGGAGGAAGGGCAUUAACCUAAUACGUUAGUGUUUUGACGUUACCGACAGAAUAAGCACCGGCUAACUUCGUGCCAGCAGCCGCGGUAAUACGAAGGGUGCAAGCGUUAAUCGGAAUUACUGGGCGUAAAGCGCGCGUAGGUGGUUUGUUAAGUUGAAUGUGAAAGCCCCGGGCUCAACCUGGGAACUGCAUCCAAAACUGGCAAGCUAGAGUAUGGCAGAGGGUGGUGGAAUUUCCUGUGUAGCGGUGAAAUGCGUAGAUAUAGGAAGGAACACCAGUGGCGAAGGCGACCACCUGGGCUAAUACUGACACUGAGGUGCGAAAGCGUGGGGAGCAAACAGGAUUAGAUACCCUGGUAGUCCACGCCGUAAACGAUGUCGACUAGCCGUUGGGAUCCUUGAGAUCUUAGUGGCGCAGCUAACGCAUUAAGUCGACCGCCUGGGGAGUACGGCCGCAAGGUUAAAACUCAAAUGAAUUGACGGGGGCCCGCACAAGCGGUGGAGCAUGUGGUUUAAUUCNAAGCACGCGAAGAACCUUACCAGGCCUUGACAUGCAGAGAACUUUCCAGAGAUGGAUUGGUGCCUUCGGGAACUCUGA
rnacentral:rRNA from 1 species